rnacentral:rRNA from 1 species
UUGAAAAGAACUUUGAAGAGAGAGUUCAAGAGUACGUGAAACCGUUCAGGGGUAAACCUAAGAAACCCAAAAGAUCGAACGGGGAGAUUCAUCGUCAGCGACGCUGGCUUCGCGUCGGUGGGCGAUGUCCCGCGGAGUCCUCGCGGCUCGCGCGCGGACACGCUGCCGUGCGUCGAUGUCCGGCGUUCGUCGUCGUGCACUUCUCCCCUAGUAGAACGUCGCGACCCGCUGGGUGUCGGUCUACGGUCCGGGUGCGGUGACUGACGCGUCGCCGGUAAAACGGCACGCGUCAAACCCUCGGUCGCCCGGCCGGCUGCCCGGCGGUACGCGCAAGGUAUCAGGCCGCACUUUGGUGUGCGUCGAGACCGUCGCAAGCGCGCGCCACGGUACUCGGAGGUACGGACUUUGCGCCGUCCCCGGUCCUGGCCCGCUGUUGGUUAAAGUACGGUUCGCCUUCGACAGGCCUGCGAACGUCUUCCUCUCGGGGAAGACCGAUACCGGUCAGCGACGCUACUGCUUUGGGUACUCUUAGGACCCGUCUUGAAACACGGACCAAGGAGUCUAACAUGUACGCGAGUCAUUGGGACUUAUCGCGAGACCUAAAGGCGUAAUGAAAGUGAAGGUCGGCCCUGGUUGUCGACCGAGGGAGGAUGGGCCGCGUCGCGACGCGGCUCCGCACUCCCGGGGCGUCUCGUUCUCAUCGCGAGAAGAGGCGCACCUAGAGCGUACACGUUGGGACCCGAAAGAUGGUGAACUAUGCCUGGUCAGGACGAAGUCAGGGGAAACCCUGAUGGAGGUCCGUAGCGAUUCUGACGUGCAAAUCGAUCGUCGGAACUGGGUAUAGGGGCGAAAGACUAAUCGAACCAUCUAGUAGCUGGUUCCCUCCGAAGUUUCCCUCAGGAUAGCUGGCACUCGGCCGUUCCGCACGGAACGCGCGCGAGUCUCAUCUGGUAAAGCGAAUGAUUAGAGGCCUUGGGGCCGAAACGACCUCAACCUAUUCUCAAACUUUAAAUGGGUGAGAUCUCUGGCUUUCUUGAACUAUGAAGCCACGAGCAUAUUCGGAUCAGAGUGCCAAGUGGGCCAUUUUUGGUAAGCAGAACUGGCGCUGUGGGAUGAACCAAACGCAGAGUUAAGGCGCCCAACUCGACGCUCAUGGGACACCAUGAAAGGCGUUGGUUGCUUAAGACAGCAGGACGGUGGCCAUGGAAGUCGGAAUCCGCUAAGGAGUGUGUAACAACUCACCUGCCGAAGCAACUAGCCCUGAAAAUGGAUGGCGCUGAAGCGUCGAGCCUAUACUCUGCCGUCAGCGGCAAGUGGGGCGGCAACGGGAGCGAUGUGCGCGACGAAGUCGUGUAAGCGAUCUCGUCGUCGUAAGCGUCUCUCGCGUCGUCACGAAGCCCUGACGAGUAGGAGGGUCGCGACGGUGUGCGCAGAAGGGUCU